UCAGCCGUGAGAAAGUAAUCUCAACAGAGGUUCCUUGUACUGCUGUUCAUGACCUCAGUCACAGAUAACAUUUGUUCUGUAACAAACCUCGUACAUCAUGUCAUAUCAGAACAGGGUUCAGAGAAAAUCCACCCACAUGGGUAUUGAAGUGAGCUAAGUAAGGAGCAAAAAAGUUAUUGAAUCUUCGAGGAGGUGUGGGACCCAUGUAGCUGCCAUGAGAGUUGGUUAAAAAGAUAUAGUAGUCAGGAAGCCUUCAGAUGGGUCACCAAAGUGAGAGAGAGGCAUAGAGGCUGAAGAGAUUCUUGUACCUGGGAGCCAGUGGCUGAAUGUUGUGACUGGAGCAAGUAAAGCCCCCCAAAAGUUCAGCAAUGUGGAGACUGGUUGCCCAAAAGCCCGGUCAAAGCCCCAAGUAGCACCUUUUUGAGAAAGUGUACAGGGCAUGUAGGAAGAAUAUACUGGUAGAUGUUAGACUUGUGCACAAGAAAAAUUUUCGUUUCGUUUUCGUGUUGGAUAAAAUUUUUGGUUCGGUAAUAUUUUUGGUUUUGAUUUUUCGGAUACAUUCGGUAUUCGGGUGUUCGGUUUGAUUUUUCGGAUACAUUCGGUAUUCGGGUUUUUAUUUUCUUCGGAUACAUUUGGUAUUCGGGUACAUUCGGGUAAAUCUUUUUUCAGCAGGGGACCAUUAUCGGGAGCGUGUGUGUGUGCAGGAAAAGAGGGCAGCCACAGAAAUCGGAACAUUGGAAGACAGAUGUCAAUAUGUACUCCUGUACACCUGAAGAGUAAACGCUGCCGAGGAUGACAAGUCCGUCCUGAAGGAAUGCACCUCCACCUUCCACUAUUCCACUAUCCCAUGGAUUAGGUGAUAGAUGAUUCCUAAAGUUCUUUCUUGAGCAAAACGGCAAGUUUCUUUCCAAGACAGCACAACAGAACCAGAGGAAAUGCGUGGGCAACAGGCAGCGGCAAGAAUGAGAGCAAGAACACUAACUUUCUAGGUUGGAUUAUGUCUUAAAGCCCCCUCAAUGCUAUACACCCCCUAAAUCAUAUUACAUUCCCAUUCCUAUUUAAAGGGGUACUCUGGUGGAAACCUUUUUUUUUUUUUCUUUCAAAUCAACUGGUGGCAGAAAGUUAAACAGAGCCAGAGGCGGCUCUAGACUUUUUGAGGCCUUAGGCGAAAAUAAAUCUGAGGCCCCCCAAGCGCGAUAAAAAGAAGAAAAUAAAAAAGUAAGCAGGCGAUAUUAAAAUUAAUGGUAUAAAUUGCAUUUUAAGGCAAACUUUAAUAUAUAUCAUAACCUCGCUAUUCACAGCUCUUGAAUUAAAUUAAUUUAAUUUAAUUAAGCUCUCUAAUUAAAUUAUUCUACAAAAUAUCUAUACACAAACAUUGGGUAUAGAUAAAAAAAAUGUGUGACUACUCAGUUAUUCUUGUUGGUGUCUCCUAAAACUGAAAUAAAGUUGUCAACAGGGUAUUCAAAGAACACUAUAGAAUCAGGAACACAAAUGUGUAUUCCUGACCCUAUAGUGGUAAACUAUUUAGCACCACACAUCCCCUUUAAAUUUAGAAAAAAGGUACCUUACCAGCCACCCCUGUGCAAAUCAGCUCAAAUGUACAUAGUGUGCUCUCACUCCUGAACCUUGUUCUGCCCAGGCAGAGCAUUUUACGCCAGCAUAUGGGGUAAUUUUGGGGGUCUUUUUUCCCUUUUGUGAAAAUAAAAAGUAUGGGGCAACACCAGCAAGUUACUGUAAAAAAUUAUUUUUUUUUACAAUAACAUGCUGGAGUAGACCCCAACUUUAUCUUUUCAUAAAGGGUAAAAUGAGAAAAGGCCCCCAAAAUAC